UGGGGUGCAGCUCAGAGGUGGGGUGCCAGCCUAGUAUGCUCCAGGCCUGGGUUCCAUCCCCAGCAUCACAG
rnacentral:tRNA from 1 species